GGGCUCAUAGCUCAGCUGGCUAGAGCGCAGCAUUCGCAUUGCUGAGGCCGAGGGUUCAAAUCCCUCUGAGUCCA
rnacentral:tRNA from 3 species